rnacentral:rRNA from 1 species
GACUUGACGGUACUUUAAACCCACCUAGAGGAGCCUGUCCUAUAAUUGAAGAUACACGAUCCACCUAACCCCUCCUAGCCUCUCAGUCUGUAUACCGCCGUCGCAAACUUGUCCCACUGAAGGAAACAAAACGAGUACAACAGCCUCCCAGGCUAAUACGUCAGGUCAAGGUGCAACUAACGGAGCGGAAGAGAUGUGCUACAUUUUCUAAAAUAGAAAUACGUAACAGAACGCCCUAUGAAA